UUCCACCACUAAAACUCGUGGUUGUGUGCUGAGGUGACAGUCCAUGAAAAGAAGUGAUUGUUAUUGUUUCUUCAUCUCUUCAAGAGACAAGUAAAGCAGGAUAAUUUUGGUUCAAAACAAAAGUAGACUGAGAAAAAGAGGUUUACAUGAAAUAUUUCUGGAACUUAAAGCUUCUUCUCCCUCUGUCCCUCUGCCUUUGCCCAGGCUGGCCUGUGGGGGUGGUGCCCUCCUGCUGCCAGAGGAGUGCAGGUAGGGAAUAAUUACUGACCCUCAUCCCCCUGGCACAGGGGUCUCUGCCCUGGUUUGUCUCCUGAAGGGAUCCUCACUAACCCACACUAAACCCUGGCCAGAAUAAAGGAUUUCAGGCCUCCCUUUGCCACUGCCAGAACCAUUCCUGAUGGUAAAGCAAGACAAUGCAGCAACUCAGCCUUUUUUUAUUUAAAAAAAAAAAAUAAAAUUUCCCCCUUCCCUUUUAAUAUUGUCUUCAAUUUGAUAAAGUAAAUGUGUACUGCCUUUUCUCCAAGAAAACAACUUUCUGUGGCUCUGAGUUACAUGUAUUUGUAAAAACCUCCUUGUUUAAAGGCCAUGAUUACAGCUGAAGAAAUCCUAUGGAAUCAAAGCAAUGGGUUUGCACAGAUUGAAGCACAGCAUUUCUCAAAGAAACAGGCUACAGUUCCAAAUUAAGCAGACUUUGGUGCCUUUUUUGAUCUUUUUUUUUUAGAGUGCCAGCCCCUUGUGUCUGCAGGAGCAGGUGAGGAACCAGAGAGUGACACCCGUGGCACAUUGAGCACAAGACCUACAGCAAUUCCAAGCUGGGAACACAGUCCAGUUUGCCAGGGAGCAAGGAACCAAUUGCAAUUCCUCAUUAAAAAUCACUUCUGCUUAAUUCCUGCAACUCCAGUUGUGGACACUGAGUAUCAACCCUAAGCCUUGGCCACCGGUGAAAAAGGGUUGCAAUAUAAGAACCUUCCCAGAGUAACUGGAAAAGGGACAAGAGCCCUAAAGAGAGAUGAUUUUGUCAUUUUUAGUGAUCAGCUUUCUCCAGCUCCUCACUGAGCAGUGCCCAGCGUUCUCCUGGUGCUGCCACAGUGGAUCCUGUCAGCCUGCAGGAAAUAAAGGCUGUAAAAUUGCUUCUGCUGAAAGCAACAGGCCCUUUCCAUAGUGGCAUAUGUUAGCACUCAGCAUCCAGGAUUUGUGGCUGUGGCACAGAAACUCCCAGAAGGGACACAGAAAUCAGCCCCAAUUAUUUUGCACAUUCUCGUGUAACAAUAGCCGUGUGCUGAGCUGGCACUCACGGAUUCUUGGGAACAGUCUGGCACCUCCAUCCACACCUCCCGCUCCGAGAUCCGCAUCACAGGCGCUCCACUGGAGGAGUUUCAGUAUCGCAGUCGGAGAGCAGGCUGUUGUUACAGGUCCACACCCACACUCUGGAUUUUCAUCCAUACUCUAAAGGAAUUUCACUACCUUUGAUUUUGCAUAGGGGCCAAAUCCAGAAAUAACAGCAUGCCAAAGUUUGGGAGAUUUGGGACAGGGCAAGGCACUUAAAACAUUAAGCCUACAUUUACAAAGCACAAGUAACAGAAAAGUACCACAGUAAUCCUCUCCAGGCUUAAACUCUGCCAUUCCUUCCAAGAGAUUAAAAACAUAUGCCAGAUCAGAGGAAUCAGAGGGUGAGCAUUCCCCGUCCUACUUUCCCCUGCACUUCCAGCGGAGGCCAUCCCACCCCAGUCACAAGAGCCAUUUCUCACUCCUGUCCCUCCCUGAUCUCAGGGAGUGCUGCAGCAGCCCCACACCUCUGCACUUUUGGAAACAGGGACUUACAUUUUGU